rnacentral:misc_RNA from 1 species
GUGAAUCAUCGAAUUUUUGAACGCAAAUUGCACUCUCUGGUAUUCCGGGGAGUAUGCCUGUUUGAGGGUCAGGUUAAAUUAAAAAUCGAGUUGUUUGUUUUUUUGUGACGCUUCGGUAUUGGGUUGUCUUUGUCCUUUGGAUUUUUUAAGAUCCCUAAAAUUGAUACUUUGUACAUCUCAGUCGUACAUAAAU